UACGAAGGGGGCUAGCGUUGCUCGGAAUCACUGGGCGUAAAGGGUGCGUAGGCGGGUCUUUUAAGUCAGGGGUGAAAUCCUGGAGCUCAACUCCAGAACUGCCUUUGAUACUGAAGAUCUUGAGUUCGGGAGAGGUGAGUGGAACUGCGAGUGUAGAGGUGAAAUUCGUAGAUAUUCGCAAGAACACCAGUGGCGAGGCGGCUCACUGGCCCGGUACUGACGCUGAGGUGCGAAAGCGUGGGGAGCAAACAGG
rnacentral:rRNA from 1 species